ensembl:misc_RNA Metazoa_SRP Metazoan signal recognition particle RNA
GCUGGGUUAUGUGGCAUGUACCUGUAAUCCAAGUCACUGGGAGGCUGAUGGUGGUUCAAGUGAGCUGAGGAGCUCUGGGCUGCAGCACACUAUGUUGAACGGGUGUCCACGCUAAGUUCGGUAUCAAUAUGGUGUUCCUGGGGGAGCCCGGAACCACCAGGUUGUCGAAGGAGGGGUGAACCGGCCCAGGUCGGAAACGAAGCAGGUCAAAUCCCCCGUGCUGUCCUUAGUGUCUUGAUGUCCUUGUUCUGUGUGUAUGUGCACCAGUAUUAGGCUGUUUCGGUUUUCGUUACGUU